GACGAACGCUGGCGGCAUGCCUAACACAUGCAAGUCGAACGGAACUUGUUGAAUGAAGUUUUCGGAUGGAUUUCAGCAAGUUUAGUGGCGGACGGGUGAGUAACGCGUGAGCAACCUGCCUUUCAGAGGGGGACAACAGUUGGAAACGACUGCUAAUACCGCAUAACGUAUCGGAACCGCAUGGCUCUGAUACCAAAGAUUUAUCGCUGAAAGAUGGGGCUCGCGUACGAUUAGAUAGUUGGUGAGGUAACGGCUCACCAAGUCGACGAUCGUUAGCCGGACUGAGAGGUUGAACGGCCACAUUGGGACUGAGACACGGCCCAG
rnacentral:rRNA from 1 species